GGGUGACAAAAAAAAAAGGACAAGAGAUAAACCCUUAUAUUCGAAUAACACGAAAACAGGUGGUGCAUGGCUGUCGUCAGCUCGUGUCGUGAGAUGUUGGGUUAAGUCCCGCAACGAACGCAACCCCUAUAUUCUGUUGCCAACAGGUAAAGCUGGGAACUCAGGAUAGACUGCCGCGGAGAACGCGGAGGAAGGCGGGGAUGACGUCAAGUCAUCAUGCCCCAUAUGACCUGGGCUACACACGUACUACAAUGGGAUGUACAGAGGGCAGCGAAAGAGCGAUCUGGAGCGAACCCCAGAAAACAUCUCCCAGUUCGGAUUGCAGGCUGAAACCCGCCUGCAUGAAGAUGGAAUCGCUAGUAAUCGCAGGUCAGCAUACUGCGGUGAAUACGUUCCCGGGCCUUGUACACACCGCCCGUCACACCACGGAAGUCAUCCACACCCGAAGCCGGAGGAGAUCCGUCGAAGGUGGGGGCGUUGGCUGGGGUGAAGUCGUAACAAGGUAGCCG
rnacentral:rRNA from 1 species